GAUAAGAACGCAGCGAAAUGCGAUAAGUAAUGCGAAUUGCAGAAUCCGUGAGUCAUCGAAUCUUUGAACGCACAUUGCGCCCCUUGGUUAUUCCGAAGGGCAUGCCUGUUCGAGCGUCAUUAUCACCCCUCAAGCCCUGGCUUGGUGUUGGACUUUAGUUAUAGCUUUGCCUAUCAACUGGUCUCAAAGAUAGUGACGGCGCCCCAGAGGGAACCGGGUACGAGGAGCUUUUUACUAAGCAUGUAUCUGGGACGACUCUGGGCGACGGUCUUGUUAUACUUUUUACCUAAGUGUUGACCUCGGAUCAGGUAGGAAUACCCGCUGAACUUAAGCAUAUCAAUAAGCGGAGGA
rnacentral:misc_RNA from 1 species